UGUCAGCAUCAAACUUUCAUAUACUGA
rnacentral:piRNA from 1 species